rnacentral:rRNA from 1 species
UUUAAGCUUCCUACGGGAGGCUGCAGUCGAGAAUCUUCCGCAAUGGACGAAAGUCUGACGGAGCGACGCCGCGUGGUGGAUGAAGUCCUUAGGGACGUAAACACCUUUUAUGGAGGAGAAAGUUUAUUGAUGUUACUCCAUGAAUAAGGGGCUCCCAACUCUGUGCCAGCAGGAGCGGUAAUACAGAGGCCCCAAGCAUUAUCCGGAUUUACUGGGCGUAAAGGGUACGUAGGCGGUUAUAUUAGUCAGGUGUUAAAUCCUGGGGCUCAACCCCAGAAUCGCAUUUGAAACGGUAUAACUAGAAUGAGUCAGAGGCAAGCAGAACUCACGGUGUAGGGGUGAAAUCCGUUGAUAUCGUGGGGAAUACCAAAUGCGAAGGCAGCUUGCUGGGACUUUAUUGACGCUGAGGUACGAAAGCGUGGGUAGCGAAGCGGAUUAGAUACCCUUGUAGUCGAAUUCUUUAUC